rnacentral:rRNA from 1 species
AAUCAACGCUGGCGGCGUGCCUAACACAUGCAAGUCGAACGAGAAAGUGGAGCAAUCCAUGAGUACAGUGGCGACCGGGUGAGUAACACGUGAUUAACCUACCUUCGAGUGGGGGAUAACGCCGGGAAACCGGCGCUAAUACCGCAUAACAUCGCUUGGUGAAAUUCCUUGCGAUCAAAGGAGCAAUUCGCUUGAAGAGGGAGUCGCGUCUGAUUAGCUAGUUGGUGAGGUAACGGCCCACCAAGGCGAUGAUCAGUAGCCGGCCUGAGAGGGCGCACGGCCACACUGGAACUGAAACACGGUCCAGACUCCUACGGGAGGCAGCAGUGGGGAAUUUUGCGCAAUGGGGGAAACCCUGACGCAGCAACGCCGCGUGGAGGAUGAAGUCCUUUGGGAUGUAAACUCCUUUCGACCGGGAAGAUAAUGACGGUACCGGAGGAAGAAGCACCGGCUAACUCUGUGCCAGCCGCCGCAGUAAUAC